CCCUGUCACUCACAUCUGCUGCCUGCUGAACCGUGGGGCUUUGACACCUCCUGGAACAUCCUUUGGUUCUUGUCAGCAGUCAGGAGCUCAGCCCCUCCCCAGCCUGAGAGGAAACCACUCCUGCCAUGGGCAGAAGGUCACGAGCAGCAGCCAGGGACAGCCACCACUCUGCAGCUGCCAGGUGACAGAAAGGAGUGAGUGUUGACCAUCCCCAGAGCUGGAUCAGCACGGAAACAUGGAUCUGCUGCGGUGGCUUUCAACAUCCUCAAAGACAUCUAAUUGUUCAGGACACAGUGAGUAUCUGCACUUACAGAAAUCAAGCCUCGAGUGGAGCUCCCCUGAAAGCCAGGCACCGAGAAGCCAAGAUUAGUUUUCAGAAAGCAUUUCUAUAAAAAUUCUCAGAUAUCUAGACAAAACCACUGACAAUCCUCCCCAAAAACCACCAACUGGUUUGGUUUGAAGAUUCCAAGACAAAACCAACAGAGAACGUGGCAUCUUUUCCACAUUUCUCAGCCAAAAACAUUGCUGAUCUGGAGAGGUUUCUUGGUGGCUUUAGGAGCAUCUCUGAGCCCCACGGUGGGGCCACAUGCAGGCACCACCUGCACAGGACGUGUCACCACCACUGUCACACGGGCCAGAGAUGCCAGGCAAAUGGAGCCACGUGGGGCAGGCUCAUCUGGAAAUCAGAGAUAAUAAUCGUUUCCUACCUGGCAGGCCCAUUAGGGGAUGUCUUCGUCAGUGCUGGGGAGGCAAUCAGAACGUCACCGUGAUGAGAGCCAGAAAAAGCUGUCCCUGCACCGUGUCAGUCACAGCCAGCCAGCCCAAGCCCAGCCCUACCCUCUCCUCCUGUCACACAAGUGAGACAGCCCAGAUUUAAAAGCCAAGGAGCUGUCUGCCAUCUUCUCUGGUGCUUUAGCCACUGGGACUCAAGCUUUGCCAACUGUUAGCACCUAAUGUUGCAACCAGCACAUUUCAGCUUCAGCUUGUGAGAUUUCUGGCAUUUCACUUCUAAAGAUGCUGAGUUCCUAAAAAAAGCGCUUUUUGCAAUGGAAGCUUCUCAUGAAAAAUUGUUCACACCCAUUUUUUUCCACCAAAGUGUGUUGAAAGCCAAAGAAAAAAAGCCAAGAAGAAAGCAGCAAGCAAGCAGAGCUGGAGAAGUCCCCGGGGAGGUGAGACCCUGGCUGGUGUCACGCCAGUGCAAUGGUGUGAUUCACUCUGGGGUCUGCUUCUCAGGGCUGGGACCUUCACAAGUUUCUCCUUCUGCCCAGGAAAAAGAAGAGCUAAUUUCUAAAAAGAAAUAAUCAUCACCAAGGGACAGGGCCACACAAAAUCUUCCCCGUGGGAUGUGAACCAUCCCUGGCACAGGGAUGCUUGUGCCACCCAGGAGAGCGGCUGGACCCGCACCAGGCUGGGCUCUGGGAUGGCUCCAUCCUCAUCUCACUGCUUUUCAGCAGCUCCUGCAGGAAUCAAGCACUUCCCAAAUGUGUUCUCACCUCAACAAC